AGAGUUUGAUCCUGGCUCAGGAUGAACGCUGGCGGCGUGCUUAACACAUGCAAGUCGAGGGGCAGCAUGGUCUUAGCUUGCUAAGGCCGAUGGCGACCGGCGCACGGGUGAGUAACACGUAUCCAACCUGCCGUCUACUCUUGGACAGCCUUCUGAAAGGAAGAUUAAUACAAGAUGGCAUCAUGAGUCCGCAUGUUCACAUGAUUAAAGGUAUUCCGGUAGACGAUGGGGAUGCGUUCCAUUAGAUAGUAGGCGGGGUAACGGCCCACCUAGUCUUCGAUGGAUAGGGGUUCUGAGAGGAAGGUCCCCCACAUUGGAACUGAGACACGGUCCAAACUCCUACGGGAGGCAGCAGUGAGGAAUAUUGGUCAAUGGGCGAGAGCCUGAACCAGCCAAGUAGCGUGAAGGAUGACUGCCCUAUGGGUUGUAAACUUCUUUUAUAAAGGAAUAAAGUCGGGUAUGCAUACCCGUUUGCAUGUACUUUAUGAAUAAGGAUCGGCUAACUCCGUGCCAGCAGCCGCGGUAAUACGGAGGAUCCGAGCGUUAUCCGGAUUUAUUGGGUUUAAAGGGAGCGUAGAUGGAUGUUUAAGUCAGUUGUGAAAGUUUGCGGCUCAACCGUAAAAUUGCAGUUGAUACUGGAUAUCUUGAGUGCAGUUGAGGCAGGCGGAAUUCGUGGUGUAGCGGUGAAAUGCUUAGAUAUCACGAAGAACUCCGAUUGCGAAGGCAGCCUGCUAAGCUGCAACUGACAUUGAGGCUCGAAAGUGUGGGUAUCAAACAGGAUUAGAUACCCUGGUAGUCCACACGGUAAACGAUGAAUACCCCCUUGUUGCGAGAUGCAGCAAGCGUACAAGUGAAAGCGUUAAGUAUUCCACCUGGGGAGUAACGCCGGCAACGGUGAAACUCUAAGGAAUCGACGGGGGCCCGCACAAGCGGAGGAACAUGUGGUUUAAUUCGAUGAUACCCGAGGAACCUUUCCCGGGCUUGAAAGUUACUGACGAUUCUGGUAACAGGAUUUCCCUUUGGGGCAGGAAACUAGGUGCUGCAUGGUUGUCGUCAGCUCGUGCCGUGAGGUGUCGGGUUAAGUCCCAUAACGAGCGCAACCCCUACCGUUAGUUGCCAUCAGGUCAAGUUGGGCACUCUGGCGGGACUGCCGGUGUAAGCCGAGAGGAAGGUGGGGAUGACGUCAAAUCAGCACGGCCCUUACGUCCGGGGCUACACACGUGUUACAAUGGUAGGUACAGAGGGUCGCUACCCCGCGAGGGGAUGCCAAUCUCGAAAGCCUAUCUCAGUUCGGAUUGGAGGCUGAAACCCGCCUCCAUGAAGUUGGAUUCGCUAGUAAUCGCGCAUCAGCCAUGGCGCGGUGAAUACGUUCCCGGGCCUUGCACUCACCGCCCGUCAAG
rnacentral:rRNA from 1 species